GACGAACGCUGGCGGCGUGCUUAACACAUGCAAGUCGAGCGGUAAGGCUCCUUCGGGAGUACACGAGCGGCGAACGGGUGAGUAACACGUGAGCAAUCUGCCCAUCACAUCGGGAUAACUUCGGGAAACCGAAGCUAAUACCGAAUACAACCACUUCAGGCAUCUGACGGUGGUGGAAAGUUCCGGCGGUGAUGGAUGAGCUCGCGGCCUAUCAGCUUGUUGGUGGGGUAAUGGCCCACCAAGGCUUCGACGGGUAGCCGGCCUGAGAGGGUGACCGGCCACACUGGGACUGAGACACGGCCCAGACUCCUACGGGAGGCAGCAGUGGGGAAUAUUGGACAAUGGGCGAAAGCCUGAUCCAGCAACGCCGCGUGAGGGAUGACGGCCUUCGGGUUGUAAACCUCUUUCAGCGCCGACGAGGCGAAAGUGACGGUAGGCGCAGAAGAAGCACCGGCCAACUACGUGCCAGCCGCCGCAGUAA
rnacentral:rRNA from 1 species